UCGCUCCUCACCAACUCCGACUUGCCGUUCGAACGAGAAAUCCAAAAAUCGACGUUUUCUGGCGGCUGGCACUGCAACCACAACAAUUCGACUCAAGAGAGUGCCAACAACAACAUUCGAGCUUUGCAUGCUCGAAUCUACCCUCGACCGAAGAGUUCCAUAAGCCCAGCUUGGGGUGUUUAUUUUCCGGCCAAUUUCAGGCCUUUCCGACCUUUUUUGGGUCCGGAGAAGGUGAUUGCCAAAGAGUCUCUCUACUGACUGCACAGGAGGAUUUCCGCAGGGUGAGAGGAAUUGGCUGAAACUCAUAAACCAGUCAUCGGUGGAAUUGAAUGUUAGGAGCAAAACUAUUUUUCAUUAGAUAAGGAGUGAGAAAUGUUGAAUGCUAUCAGUUCUCAUAUGCUGCCUUGACAUGAAAACAUAAAUAUUGACGAGAAGUGAGCAAUGUUGAAUGCUAUCAGUUCCCACUCAGAUACAGACUUCUCAAACUUGUGCAACUCCCUAAGCUUUGUGGAAUCUCACCAGAUAACUUGUUUUCAGAAACAUCCAAGAAAACAAGAUGCUGUAAGUUACCUACUUCCAUGGGAAUGGAUUCAGUAAAUUUGUUUCUAGAUAGAUCCAACGCAACAAGUAAAUUGAUGACUUGUUUUGGAAUUGGACCGCUAAGAUUGUUGUGGGAAAGAUCCAAAUAUAACAUAAGCCUGCAGUCUCCGAGACUUUGUGGUAUGCUGCCUUGUAACUGGUUUGACUGGAGAUACAAACUGCUUAAUGAAGUAAGAUUUCCUAGCGAUGAUGGAACAUUA